UACGUAGGGGGCAAGCGUUGUCCGGAAUCAUUGGGCGUAAAGAGCGCGUAGGCGGUCCGGUAAGUCCGCUCUGAAAGUCCGGGGCUCAACCCCGGGAGGCGGGCGGAUACUGUCGGGCUAGAGUCCGGAAGAGGCGAGUGGAAUUCCUGGUGUAGCGGUGAAAUGCGCAGAUAUCAGGAGGAACACCAAUGGCGAAGGCAGCUCGCUGAGACGGUACUGACGCUGAGGUGCGAAAGCGUGGGGAGCAAACAGG
rnacentral:rRNA from 1 species